CAUGUGGCUAACCUACCCUUAGGACGGAGACACCCCGGGAAACUGGGGCUAAUACCCGGUAGAUUAGGAGGCCUGGAAUGGUUUCUAGUCGAAAAGGCGUUGAAACCAUGCUUUUCGACGUCGCCUAAGGAUGGGGCCGCACCUGAUCAGGUUGUUGGUGGGGUAACGGCUCACCAAGCCUAUAACCGGUACGGGCCGUGAGAGCGGGAGCCCGGAGAUGGGCACUGAGACAAGGGCCCAGGCCCUACGGGGCGCAGCAGUCGCGAAAACUCCGCAAUGCGCGAAAGCGUGACGGGGCUACCCCGAGUGCCGUCCGCUGAGGAUGGCUUUUCCCCGGUGUAAUGAGCCGAGGGAAUAAGGAGAGGGCAAGACUGGUGUCAGCCGCCGCGGUAAUACCAGCUCUCCGAGUGGUAUGGAUGAUUAUUGGGCUU
rnacentral:rRNA from 1 species